rnacentral:rRNA from 1 species
GGGAAUUUUCCGCAAUGGGCGCAAGCCUGACGGAGCAACGCCGCGUGAGGGAUGAAGGCCUCUGGGCUGUAAACCUCUUUUAUCAAGGAAGAAGAUCUGACGGUACUUGAUGAAUAAGCCACGGCUAAUUCCGUGCCAGCAGCCGCGGUAAUACGGGAGUGGCAAGCGUUAUCCGGAAUUAUUGGGCGUAAAGCGUCCGCAGGCGGUCUUGAAAGUCUGUUGUUAAAGCGUGGAGCUCAACUCCAUUUCAGCAAUGGAAACUAGAAGACUAGAGUGUGGUAGGGGCAGAGGGAAUUCCCGGUGUAGCGGUGAAAUGCGUAGAUAUCGGGAAGAACACCAGUGGCGAAGGCGCUCUGCUGGGCCAUAACUGACGCUCAUGGACGAAAGCCAGGGGAGCGAAAGGGAUUAGAUACCCCAGUAGUC